rnacentral:misc_RNA from 1 species
AACGCACAUUGCGCCCUUUGGUAUUCCAAAGGGCAUGCCUGUUCGAGCGUCAUUUGUACCCUCAAGCUUUGCUUGGUGUUGGGCGUUUUUGUCUCGGGUCCGCCCCGAGACUCGCCUUAAAAUCAUUGGCAGCCGGCCUACUGGUUUCGGAGCGCAGCACAUUUUUGCGCUUUGUCCAGUCGUGGUCUUGCGUCCAUGAAGCGAAUAUUUUCAACGUUUGACCUCGGAUCAGGUAGGGAUACCCGCUGAACUUAA